AAGGGUUUAGGGUUUAGGGUUUUAGUGUUUUUUAUUUAGAGUUUAAGAUUUAUCCAAGGGUUUACGGUUUACCCAAAGGUUUAGGGUUUAGGAUUUAGGGUUUAGGGAUUAGGAUUUAGAGUUUAGUGUUUUGUUGACAACGUUAAAAAUAUAUUUUUUUUUAAUUAUUUUUUCUGUAACUAUUAUCUUUUUUUUUACUUUUUUAUUUUAAAAACAUAAUAUAAUUUGAGAAUAUUUUGUUUCCUUUUUUAAAAGAUAUCGAAUUUAAAUAAUGAAAUCCUAUUGGUUGGUGAACCUAAAGGUUCACCCUAGGGAGUGAACCCAAGAAUAACUCUUAAAAUUCAUAGUAUACUCUUUUAUCAAUUUAGUGAUCUUUUAAUAGAAAAAAAAAAUAUUAUAGUCAAAGAAACAAAUAAAAACUUAUUACUGUAGGUAGUUAUUUAUAUUAUAAAUUAAAUACUAUAAUUAGUCAAUUUAUUUUUUGGCGCAUUAUUUAGUGUUUACUAUUUGGUUCUUUUUGUGUGUUAUUUAAUUUUUC
rnacentral:lncRNA from 1 species